rnacentral:rRNA from 1 species
CAGUCGCCGCGGUAAGACGGAGGGUGCAAGCAUUAAUCGGAAUUACUGGGCGUAAAGGGUGCGUAGGCGGUUGUUUAAGUCUGUUGUGAAAUCCCCGGGCUCAACCUGGGAAUGGCAAUGGAAACUGGACGGCUAGAGUGUGUCAGAGGAUGGUGGAAUUCCCGGUGUAGCGGUGAAAUGCGUAGAGAUCGGGAGGAACACCAGUGGCGAAGGCGGCCAUCUGGGACAACACUAACGCUGAGGCACGAAAGCGUGGGGAGCAAACAGGAUUAGAUACCCCCGUAGUCCCUGUCUCUUAUAC